rnacentral:rRNA from 1 species
AUUGAACGCUGGCGGCAGGCUUAACACAUGCAAGUCGAGCGAGCGGCGGACGGGUGAGUAAUGUCUGGGAAACUGCCUGAUGGAGGGGGAUCACUACUGGAAACGGUAGCUAAUACCGCAUACCCUCAGAUGUGCCCCGAUGGGAUUAGCUAGUAGGUGGGGUAAUGGCUCACCUAGGCGACGAUCCCUAGCUGGUCUGAGAGGAUGACCAGCCACACUGGAAAGGAGACACGGUCCAGAAGCCUACGGGAGGCAGCAGUGGGGAAUAUUGCACAAUGGGCGAAAGCCUGAUGCAGCCAUGCCGCGUGUGUGAAGAAGGCCUUCGGGUUGUAAAGCACUUUCAGCGAGGAGGCGUUACUCGCAGAAGAAGCACCGGCUAACGCCGUGCCAGCAGCGGCGGUAAUUC